rnacentral:rRNA from 1 species
GAUGAACGCUGGCGGCGUGCCUAAUACAUGCAAGUCGAGCGAACAGACGAGGAGCUUGCUCCUCUGACGUUAGCGGCGGACGGGUGAGUAACACGUGGAUAACCUACCUAUAAGACUGGGAUAACUUCGGGAAACCGGAGCUAAUACCGGAUAAUAUAUUGAACCGCAUGGUUCAAUAGUGAAAGACGGUUUUGCUGUCACUUAUAGAUGGAUCCGCGCCGCAUUAGCUAGUUGGUAAGGUAACGGCUUACCAAGGCAACGAUGCGUAGCCGACCUGAGAGGGUGAUCGGCCACACUGGAACUGGGACACGGUCCAGACUCCUACGGGAGGCAGCAGUAGGGAAUCUUCCGCAAUGGGCGAAAGCCUGACGGAGCAACGCCGCGUGAGUGAUGAAGGUCUUCGGAUCGUAAAACUCUGUUAUUAGGGAAGAACAAAUGUGUAAGUAACUAGGCACGUCUUGACGGUACCUAAUCAGAAAGCCACGGCUAACUACGUG